AACACCUCAAAGCCUUUUUUCUUUUUUGAAGAAAGGCUUUGGACUUGAGCAAUCCCAACACCAAUCUUUUAAAGAGAGGGGGCGGGUUGCUUGAAAUGCAGGUGCAGCUGGACAUUCUCCUGAGCUAAAAGCAUAUUCAUUUAGUCCCGUCAAACGGAUUAUUACUUUUGCUGCAGCUAAUAUAAAGGGAGUUUGACCAUUUUGGCUGACUGAUGCAGGAUUUUCACAAGAGUCUUCAAAACCUCUUGUUAA
rnacentral:misc_RNA from 2 species